rnacentral:rRNA from 1 species
CCUACGGGGGGCUGCAGUGGGGAAUAUUGCACAAUGGGCGAAAGCCUGAUGCAGCAACGCCGCGUGAGCGAUGAAGGCCUUCGGGUCGUAAAGCUCUGUCCUCAAGGAAGAAUUUUGACGGUACUUGAGGAGGAAGCCCCGGCUAACUACGUGCCAGCAGCCGCGGUAAUACGUAGGGGGCUAGCGUUAUCCGGAAUUACUGGGCGUAAAGGGUGCGUAGGUGGUCUGACAAGUCAGGGGUGAAAGGCUACGGCUCAACCGUAGUAAGCCCUUGA